UCUGUGUAGUGGAUGGUGUUAUUGUCAGUUUUUUUCUUCUGUGCAAUGUUUUCAGUUAUCAGACUAAGACAAAUCAUGGUUAAUCAUGACAGCUACUGGUGAGCGUAAGAAAUCCUAGGCUGUAGGUGCAGUGUUUCUUCAUGGCUGUGAAGAGGACAAAGGAGCCUGGUUUCUCAGUGGUUAAGCACUCGACUGCUAACUGAAAGGCAGUUUGAACCCACCAGCCCCUCCACAGGAGAAAGAUGUGGCAGUCUGUUUCCAUAAAGAUUACAGCCUAGAAAACCCUAUGAGGCUGUUCUACUCUGUCCUAUAGAGUAGCUAUGAGUCAGAAUCGACUCCACAGUAGUGGGUUUGGUAUUUUUGGUGAUGAGGACACCCCUUUGUUCACUCCAUGUGGCAUUUACUUCAGGACAAUGGCAUGACGGUUCCCCUAAUAGAAUGAUGGAUCUGAUCCUGGAAGUGUUUAUUGAUCAUUGCUCGCAGGUCUCUGUGUAAAGCAACGUGGAGACUGGAGGAUAGUUAAUUCGAGUUACUUUACUGUAGUGGACGUCAAAGUUGAGUAUUGGCCCGUGGAAAUGGGUCCUAGGAAAUUUAGGGAAUUUCUCUCUGCUUUGCGUGUGCUGGACUACUUGACCUGCAGGAUUACUCCUGGAAAUGAAGAGCAAUUGCAAAGAGCCUCAGGGUUUUCUCCAAAGCAUUUUACUUUCAUUUUUAUAUGCCCUCCUUUUAGUUCAUUUUUAUAGAGCUGCAGCAGCUUCGUGUGCCUGGCUGGGCUGUAGGAGGAGGGCAGGGUGUGGACACAGAAUGUCCAGGCCUGUGGUUGGGACACGUUUAUGCACGGGAAGGGGGUGGCUGUGCUUCUCUGUGGCUUGCUGCUGGCACAGAGGUACAGAGCUGUGUGGGUCAUUUGGUCCCGUGUCACCGCCAGAGGGAAGCGCUCCUUCUUCUGCCGAGAGGCACUGUGGACUGCAGCUGCACCUCCUUCCUGGAUGUCAUUUAUCACAGCUGGAUGAGGAAGACCCGUCCCAGUAUUCCUGGCUUGUUGUGCCUCGGGUAGACCUUCCACCCUACAUGUGGGUGCUGGGUGUGUUCCCAGAAUAAGGUUCCUGCCUCUCACUGGUCAAGAAUGAGCAGGAACACCUCAUAACACCAAGAAAGUAGUGCCAGGAGCAGAGCUUGUCCUUUGGACCUGGGGUGACUGUGCUGAGGAGCUCAUCGAUCAAGGGAAGAUUGAUGACAAGGACCUGCCCCCAGGGCUGACAGAGAGAGAAAGCCUUCCCCCAGAGCUACACCCUCAAUUUGGACUUGUAGUCUACUAGACUGUGAGAGAAUAAACUUCUGUUUGUUGAAACCAUCCUCUUGUGGUCUUUCUGUUAUAGUAAAAAAAACAACAACUAGAUAACUAAGACAAUAAUCGUAUGCAUCUAAGCUUGCAUAUCAUUAUGUCUUACUUCAAAUUUUCCUGAUCUCCAAUAAAAUUAAAUAUCUCUUCCUCUGUUUAUUGGUCAAAUAUGUUUCUUCUUCUAUUAAACGCAUGUGCAUGUUUGUUUGUUUUUCCCCCUUCCUUCUGGGUCAUACAAGAUCAGUGGUCAGUGUAAUAUUUGGUUUUCCCUAGGGAAAGGUUUCUGUGCAAGGGAUUGCACUCACUGCUUCACUUAUCUGCAUCUGGCUUCUGACAGAGCUCUCUAGGUCCUUAGACAAGCCGUGUUGUUGGAAGUCUCCCUUAUAUGCUCCUCUGCCUUCUCUCUCCUUAGUCUCCUCUCUCAAGAGUUAGCUCAGCCAACACCUUCCCUGUACCUAUUCUUACCUGUUCAUUCAUCAAGCAAAGCACUAUGUAGUUCAUCAUGGAAAUGUUCUCAUGAGUGAAGCUCUUGUUUGGCUGACUUAUCCCUCUUUAUCUCGAGGGCCCAACAUGGUGAGAAGAUGGUGUUGAAUAGUCUAGGAAAGCUGAAGUCCACGUUCACCACAAAAAUCUCAGGAAUUUUAUACAUCUACCUAUAGUGAAUUUUUCCAAUCAAGUUUUCCA